AAAAAGAUAAGCUAAAUUAAGCUUUUGGGUUCAUACCUCAACUAUAAAAAUUAUAAUUUUUUUCUUUUUA
rnacentral:tRNA from 1 species